rnacentral:rRNA from 1 species
ACCCAUGGCCAAAUCACCCCAAAUGCUCCUGAUCUUGUGGUAUCUCAGAAGCUAAGCAGGAGUUGGUCAUGGUCAAGAAUUGGAUUGGUGAGCACCAGGGCCUGCAAGGUGUACUAUAGGUG